UGUUUCUGCUCUUUUUUUCUAUGUUCUCAAUUACCAUUAUUUCCAGUUUAGUUAUGUCAGGUACUAGAAAAUGUUCCUAUAAAUACGGUUUUGGAAAUUAUGGUUCGAGGGCGAAUCAUAAACGUUCUUUUCUAUGGACUAUCAUGGCUGGGGGGCUGGACAAGCUGUAGCCAUUUUCCAUGGGAUAUAUGCCAACCCUGUUUUAGCUGAUGCAUCAAAUGGAAGUAGUGCUGAAACAGAAUCAGAGGGGGCUAAUAUAACUGGAUUACGUAAAAUUGAGGAUGGCCCNNNNNNNNNNNCAAAUGUACAUACUUCUAAAUGGAGAAUAUUUACUGAUAAUGGGAGGGAAUACUUCCUGCAGGGAAAAUUGGAUGAAGCUGAAAAGUUCUUCCUUUCUGCCCUAGAAGAAGCUAAAAAAGGUUUUGGGGAUAGGGAUCCUCAUGUUGCUUCUGCUUGUAACAAUUUGGCAGAGCUGUAUAGAGUCAGGAAAUUGUUUGAUAAAGCAGAACCUUUGUAUUUGGAGGCUGUCAAAAUAUUGGAGGAAUCAUUUGGUGCAGAUGAUAUACGUGUGGGGGCUGCCUUUCACAACCUUGGACAGUUCUAUCUUGUGCAGCGGAAAC
rnacentral:misc_RNA from 1 species